rnacentral:lncRNA from 1 species
AAACAUUUAUUCGCAAUCAAGAUCAUUGAAAAACACAUCAUUUAGACCAAUUUUAAUACACUUAUAAGAUAAAAAAUGAUAUGUUUCAGAUGCGUAUCGGAGCAAACAACCAAGGUAUCAAAAUUAAUUCUAUUUUUCUUAAGCUGUAGUUUUUAUCUAAGAAUCAUAGUAAAUUAUUCUCCAGCAUGAUGCAAUCUUUGAAGCAUAUAAUGAAAAUUACAAAAAUGUAAAGAUAUAAGCAUUUUAUAUGGAG